UACGAAGGGGGCUAGCGUUGCUCGGAAUCACUGGGCGUAAAGCGCACGUAGGCGGCUUGUUAAGUGCAGGGGUAGAAAUCCUGGAGCUCAACUCCAGAACUGCCUUUGAUACUGGCGAGCUUGAGUUCGGGAGAGGUGAGUGGAACUGCGAGUGUAGAGGUGAAAUUCGUAGAUAUUCGCAAGAACACCAGUGGCGAAGGCGGCUCACUGGCCCGAUACUGACGCUGAGGUGCGAAAGCGUGGGGAGCAAACAGG
rnacentral:rRNA from 1 species